CCUACGGGCGGCAGCAGUCGAGAAUCAUUCACAAUGGGGGAAACCCUGAUGGUGCGACGCAGCGUGGGGGAAUGAAGGUCUUCGGAUUGUAAACCCCUGUCAUGUGGGAGCAAAUUAAAAAGAUAGUACCACAAGAGGAAGAGACGGCUAACACUGUGCCAGUAGCCGCGGUAAUACAGAGGUGUCAAGCGUUGUUCGGAAUCACUGGGCUUAAGGCGUGCGGAGGAUGUUUCGUAAGUAGUGUGUGAAAGGCGCGGGCUCAACCCGCGCACGGCACAUGAUACUGCGAGACUAGAGUAAGGGAGGGGGAACCGGAAUUCGCGGUGUAGCAGUGAAAUGCGUAGAUAUCGAGAGGAACACUCGUGGCGAAGGCGGGUUCCUGGACAUUAACUGACGCUGAGGCACGAAGGCCAGGGGAGCGAAAGGGAUUAGAUACCCCUGUAGUC
rnacentral:rRNA from 1 species